rnacentral:rRNA from 1 species
AUUGAACGCUGGCGGCAGGCCUAACACAUGCAAGUCGAAUGGUAACAGGAAACAGCUUGCUGUUUCGCUGACGAGUGGCGGACGGGUGAGUAAAGUCUGGGAAACUGCCUGAUGGAGGGGGAUAACUACUGGAAACGGUAGCUAAUACCGCAUAACGUCGCAAGACCAAAGAGGGGGACCUUCGGGCCUCUUGCCAUCAGAUGUGCCCAGAUGGGAUUAGCUAGUAGGUGGGGUAACGGCUCACCUAGGCGACGAUCCCUAGCUGGUCUGAGAGGAUGACCAGCCACACUGGAACUGAGACACGGUCCAGACUCCUACGGGAGGCAGCAGUGGGGAAUAUUGCACAAUGGGCGCAAGCCUGAUGCAGCCAUGCCGCGUGUAUGAAGAAGGCCUUCGGGUUGUAAAGUACUUUCAGCGGGGAGGAAGGGAGUAAAGUUAAUACCUUUGCUCAUUGACGUUACCCGCAGAAGAAGCACCGGCUAACUCCGUG